ACAACAUUGGGACCGUCGGUCUACCGAGCAAUAUCACCCAAUCGGUGGAAGAUCUCUCUGUCGU
rnacentral:pre_miRNA from 1 species